rnacentral:rRNA from 1 species
GACGAACGCUGGCGGCGUGCUUAACACAUGCAAGUCGAACGGGGUGUUUAUUUCGGUAAACACCAAGUGGCGAACGGGUGAGUAACGCGUAAGCAAUCUACCUUCAAGAUGGGGACAACACUUCGAAAGGGGUGCUAAUACCGAAUGAAUGUAAGAGUAUCGCAUGAGACACUUACUAAAGGAGGCCUCUGACAUAAGCUUCCGCUUGAAGAUGAGCUUGCGUCUGAUUAGCUAGUUGGUGAGGGUAAAGGCCCACCAAGGCGACGAUCAGUAGCCGGUCUGAGAGGAUGAACGGCCACAUUGGGACUGAGACACGGCCCAGACUCCUACGGGAGGCAGCAGUGGGGAAUCUUCCGCAAUGGGCGAAAGCCUGACGGAGCAACGCCGCGUGAACGAUGAAGGUCUUAGGAUCGUAAAGUUCUGUUGUUAGGGACGAAGGGUAAGAAUCAUAAUAAGGUUUUUAUUUGACGGUACCUAACGAGGAAGCCACGGCUAACUACGUGCCAGCAGCCGCGGUAAUACGUAGGCGGCAAGCGUUGUCCGGAAUUAUUGGGCGUAAAGGGAGCGCAGGCGGGAAACUAAGCGGAUCUUAAAAGUGCGGGGCUCAACCCCGUGAUGGGGUCCGAACUGGUUUUCUUGAGUGCAGGAGAGGAAAGCGGAAUUCCCAGUGUAGCGGUGAAAUGCGUAGAUAUUGGGAAGAACACCAGUGGCGAAGGCGGCUUUCUGGACUGUAACUGACGCUGAGGCUCGAAAGCUAGGGUAGCGAACGAGAUUAGAUACCCCGGUAGUCCUAGCCGUAAACGAU